CUUCUUUUUCAAGAAAAAGAGAAAAGCACAGCUCCCAGGGUAGAGAUAUGUGCUGCUUUGCUGCUUUUUCGGUUAGAUACAGUGGCAAAUGGUGGGAAAUAAUUGUUUCUUUCAUGUAUGUUAACGGAAAUAAAAUUAUUCAUCAUCAUCUACUUCACUCCUGUUUUC